rnacentral:rRNA from 1 species
UACGGAGGGUGCAAGCGUUGUCCGGAAUCACUGGGCGUAAAGGGCGCGUAGGCGGCUCAUGAAGGCUGUGGUGAAAGUCCGGGGCUCAACCUCGGAUCGGCCGUGGCGACUCGUGGGCUGGAGCACUGUAGAGGCGGGUGGAAUUCCGGGUGUAGCGGUGAAAUGCGCAGAUAUCAGGAGGAACACCGGUGGCGAAGGCGGGUCUCUGGGCCGAUACUGACGCUGAGGAGCGAAAGCGUGGGGAGCGAACAGG